ACCGGCAUUGGGCGUCCUGCCAUCUGCUUUCUCUCUUCUGGUUCUGUCUCUUAGUGUAUUUAUUUCUCAGGCCUGCCUCAUAUCCUAGCAGGAGACUGAAACUUAACUGCAAGGGUCUACAGUACCACUUCUCUCUGCAAAAACAAACACAACAUAAAUCCAAUGAAACCUCUAGGUGCAAAAAUUUUAAACCUCUGCCCCGCCCCCGCCUAACAAGUGGGAAGAGACCCAGCAUUCAGAGCACAGGCCAAGUGCUGGCUGCACGGGAGUCACCUGGUCGUCGUGAAGAGGCUGAGAGUGGAGCAAGCAAUCCAGAGCCCGGGGCCGCCUAGGCAGGGCGCCCGCCUCUCUCUCUGCAAACCUCAGCGGCUCAGUUAUUACCCGUCCUAGCCAUCCCUUCCCAGGUGCCUGGGCAGGAAGGACAGCCGCCUCCACUGCCAGCUCAGGACCAGAGCUGGAUGAAAGAUCCGGUUGGCCCUCAGGGUUUAUCCCGGGUGCAGAAGAGCCCAGCUCCUUUGGCCCAGCAUGACCCAGGUGCCAAACCACCCCUGCGGCUCCACCUCCUGCCACCUCCUGCUUUCCAUGGCAGCCUCUGUUUCUCCACGUUGAGCUCCCUGUCGGCUUUGAGCCUGCUCUCUCCUUCCCCGUUCUUGGAAGCUGUUUCCUUGCCUGACAGUCCCCACAUGUUCUUAGUCACAUCCUCAUGCCCCGCCCACGGCUUCGAUGAAAAUCAAAGGCCCCGGAUUGCUGGAUGCUGGCUGUGCCUGUGGAGGUAUGCACAGCACUUGACCUCUGAGGAUGCAAUCGCUGGGACACUCGGGAACACUGGCCUCUCUGCACACUGUUCCCCACAGUGAACGCCUAAAGGUCCUCCUGUCACCCUGACGGCCUCCCAUCCUCGCCCAGCAACUCCCAGACUACAGCAAGGACCAGGACAGGCAAGCGAGGCUGCCCACUCCUGGCGUCCCUGUCAGAGUAAGUGGGGCUUGCGGGUCAGGAGACACACAUGUGGCAUAGGUCCCUAAGAGAGGAAAGAGGACCCCAGGCUGGAAGCCUCAGGAGAGGAGACCACAGCAGGUUGGAGAGAACUGGAAGCAAGUGCAGGGCUUUGUAGACAAAUGCUGUCAACAUCUUCCACGCGCUCCUCAGCGCUGGCCUUUGCGUGUGUCAGGCAGCCAGACCUGGGAUUCAGAGGCCAGGGUCCUGCGCCCACUCUUCCGGGGUUGAGUCUGGAGUCCCGGAACCCACAAACCCUCGGGGGUGGGCAGGCCACAAAGGUUGCUGGCUGACUGCUCACAUGGCACCACCACAGAUCUGAAACCAAGCCUUAGAGCUGGAAAGGCAGGGGACAAAAGAUAAAAGAUUGCUUCACUUGUUGCUCAGUAUCGAGGGCACACGUUAGAGUCUUCGUCACAACGUGCUGGUGGGCUCUGUGUUUCUGAUUUUAUAAAAAGCAAGCCAAACACAUUAGGUUGUCAAAUGGUAAAAAUAAAUAAUUCUUUUUCCUUUUGAAAUGUCAAGGGACAACAGGAAGACUGGAGCUAUCUUGGGAUGACAGAUGUAAGCCAUUUUAUCUUAACUGUCAAUCAUCUGAGUAAACCAAUUAAAAGAUAGUGAUUGAGAAAGUAGAUUUUAAAAUGACUCAAUUAUAAGCUGUCUACAAGAAAGUCACUUCAAAUAUAACCAUCUGUGCACAUUAAAAGUAAAAGGAUGGGAAAAGAUAUAUUAGGUAAACAUUAGGCAAAAUAAGGCAAGUUUUUUAAUGGAUCGAGAUCCAAAUGAACAAAAGAAAAUAAAAGCACCAUUUCUCGGCAAAAGUCUCUUUACUAUCUGCCAGGUGAACGAACAGAGGGGAAAGCUCAGGACUGAGAACUGUGUUCUAUCCUGCUGGCAGGUGGGGACAUUCCUGGGUCAGCCACGCUGGAGUCAGAAAAAGCGGAGUGGGGCAACUGUAACCACGACACUUACAGGAGGGAGAGGAAGCUUCCGCACUGCUCUGUGGAACCUAACCUCAGUUUUGCCAGCCCCAGCCCUGGAGGUCAGGAAUUUCUGUUGUUUCCAAGCCACUCGGACCCCAGUCUUCUGGACAAUGCCAGGGUAGACUAAGACCUCUCCCAUUUAUGACAGUUUCAGGACUCGGAAAUACUGUCAAAAAUAUUUCACAGGUCUCAAAGACGGCUGGCUGAUGCCCGACCACCCUCAUCUCCGGCACAGAGGACCCUGUUGACUGUCUAGCCACCAGCGUGGGGCUGCAGCCUCAUUGCCCGAGUCUGGCCCAGCACCAACCCCAAUCACCCCUCGUUGAGGAGAGAGGUGGCCUCAGAGGAGAGGAACGUCACUUUCGGGAACCCAGAGGUCAGCACACAGCCCCUGGACCAAGAGUUGGCCAGCCACAAGUGGGUCCUGCAGCGUCGGGACCCACACACUCCCGACUGCAUGGCUCGGGCGGCGUGGGGAUGCACUCCCUGUCAGGCUGCAGAUGGCAAGGUGGGGUGUGUGCCAAAGUGGCUGGUGGGGUCCCUCCCUUCCCACACAGUGUGGUCUGGUCUCCCACAGCUCCUGUGCCCAACCCCCUCAUCAGGGUGGACGUGAGGUGCGGCCAGCGUCACUGGUGUGUGCACUGCCGUGUCUGCCUGAGCCAGAGGAAGGUCCCAGACAUGGGGAGAUGGGAGCCAGCCUAUGGGCUCUCCUGACCCAGGGGUGAUGAGGAGGAAAACUAGAGACGCAGGACCAGGUUGAAACCUAGGGCGUCAGGGGCUCAUGUCUCCCUUCCACAGGGAGCUGAGUAGGGGGCACCUCAGCUUUAUUCACUCAGACACAGCAAUUAGAGUUGCGCAGCAUUAGAGUCAUCUGUCUGCCUCCCUCCAUGGCACCUGUCCGGGAAACAGCAGGAUCUCAGGUGUUCUUACUUCUCCCUGCAGCGUGUCAGCAUGCUUUCAUGCCCUCUCUUCUCAGGGCUCACCAAGGCGGGCAUUAGGCCUCAGUCUUCCCAGCCGGUCGCCCCCAGUGGGGCCCUUCAACCUCCCACACCAUGAGCUGUCCCACAGCCCACAGCCAUCAGAUCCCCAUGCCGCAGACCCUGGCUGGAACCAGCCAGAGCCGCAUCCCCCAACACACAGCCGAGUUCAGGGGAACCUGUGCUGCGGAGGCACCGUGUGAAAGCCAGAGACCCCUGGGCCACAGAUGGGCAGAUCCAGUGUGAGCGCACAAGCAGCAGGGCAAGUGAAGCAACACCAAGACUCCAAACGAAGGCAGUGUGUCCCUCAGUACUGGUCCCAGAGAUGACAGAGAGCUCGGGGAGCGUCCCAGGGCUCUCGGAAUGAGGAGCUCAGGAAGACAAAUACAAAGUGCAGCUCAGACCCUCAGCAACAGACUGCAAAACCAGAGGGAAGGGUAUCUGCACUUCAGUGUGAGUCUUUUGAAAUAUUCCGCUUGGAAGGAACGGACGGAGGGGAGAGAAAAGGAAGAAAGACAGACAAAGAGAAAGAAACAAAGAUGCACAACCUUAGAGACUUUGGGGACACCAUUAAAUGCAAACAAGUCACAUUUUUGAGUGCCUCAAAGAGAAAAAAAGGAAUAGAAAAAUCUAUUCAGUAAGAUAUUUGAAAACUUCCUUUCCUGGGGGAAAAGAUGGAUAUCCAGAGGUAGGAGGGCUCUGGGACCCAAACAGAUGUGCUGGGAAUGGGCCUCACCCCAACGUAAACCAUCAAAACCAUAAGAGAAGGAGGAUCCCACAAACAAAAGGAGAAGGACACCAAGUCAUACUUCAGGAAGUGCCAUUAGACCAACAGCAGUUUUCUCAACAGAAACCUUAUAAGCCAGGAGAGAAUGGAGAGACAGAUUUUAAAUCCCAAAGAAAAUAACAGUCAGCCAAGAGUAUGUACCCAUGAAGGCUCUCCUUCAGAAAUGAAGCCCAAAGGAAGACUUCUCAAGCUAAGCAAGCAGAGGGAAUUCCUCACAGCCAAGUCAGACUCUUGAGGGGCCCUGCACCCUGAAGCCCAAGAACAGGGACCGCCAUCAGGAGAACAUGCCACUAGGGGCACAGACGGGCAGCGGGAGUGAAGGGGAAGCUGCCCCAUCUCAGAGAAGAUGCGGAGGAAGUAAAGCUCAAACAGGAAAUUGGACACAGUGAUGACAGCGAGCCCUCAUCUCCCCAUAACACCUCAGAGGCAGGCAGACAAAGUCCAUCAGCGACAGCACAGACUGGCUAAGCCCAGGCCGGCUGCCUGCCAGGGACUCGCCUCACCGUGAGGAUGCCACAGACCCAAGGGAACAGAUGCUGAAGGUGAGCCUUGGAAGUGGGCCCCACACAAGCAAGAGCAGCCGUUCAUUCCUGCAUCCAAUGGAAGAAAGACAGAGGCUGCAGGGCUGGUGAUGAUGAAAGGGCAGCAGGGCACCCACAUGCCGUGUGCACUUAAGGAGGGACAAAAGCCUACAAAGACACAAAGGAGAUCAUUACAUAACUAUCAAGGUCAAUUCAACAAAAUAACCAUCGUAAGUGUACACGCACCCAUUGCCAGAGCGCCCCAUUUCAUAAACCAACACUUAAAUCUAAAUGGGAGGCAGAACCAAAGAUGCUCCCUGCACCCUCACCACCCCGCCGGUCAUCUGGACAGGACACUGGCAUGGGGACAGCAGAUCCCGGGGAAGUGACGCUGACUGGAGACUCCCUCCCACUUCUGGAGAACUGGUGAGGCAUCCUCCAGAACCUUAGCCACCAGCAAGUGUCCAGCAAUAAUCCUCCGCGUUAGCCACCAGCAAGUCUGAACAAACUUUUUAAGAACCCAAAUCAUAUCGUGUAUCUUCUUUUCCACAGUGAAAUAAAACUAGAAGUUAACAACAACAGCCAGAGAAGAACAGAAAGGGGAUGAAGAAAAGGAGUAAGAUAUGCUCUGUGCAUGUCCCAACUCCACACAAGGAAUGCAAACAUUACAGACUACAAACGUGAACUAAUAAAAACUAACAAAGGAAACUACAAACUCAGGAAGACUUAACAUGCUACUGAAUGAACAAACUGAAUCAUGGAACAAAAAAGUCAGUUUAAAAAAAUGCAUGCAACAAAUGAAUAUAUAAACAAAACAUACUAAAACUUACGUGAUACAGCAAAAAAAAAAAGCAUCUCCCUAAGAAGGAAAUUUAUAACAAUAAACAUCUAGUGUGAAAAUACAGAACAGUGCAUCUCAAAGAUAUAUAAAUACCACACCCCAAAUUAGAUGGAAAGAAAUAAUAAAGAUCAGAAAAGGAAAAAAAUAAAAUAUACGGUAUUUGUCAUACUGUCUCUUUCUUCAUCACUAAUGUUAUUCACUUGGGGGUCUUCUGCCUUUUUUCUUGCCUACUCUAGCUAAAGGUUUGUCAAUUUAGUAAUCUUUUCAAAAGAGCAAUUCUUUGUUUCUUGGUCAUUUGUACUGUUUCUAGCCUCUUGCGAAUAUCGGUCUGUAAUUUUCAUGUUGUGCUCAUAGCUGGGUUUGGUAAAACAAUAAUGUGGGCCUUGAAUAAUGACUUUAGAAGGGUUUUGUCCCUUGCAAUAUUUUGGAAUAAUUGAGAAUUCCUCUCAGUAGCUCUGAUGAGUAUAGAUGUGGAAAUUCUCAAUAAAAUCAAAUUGAAUGCAAUAGCACAUCAAAAAGAUGAUUUACCAUGAUCAAGUAGAUUUAUCCUAGGAGUACAAGGGUGAUUCAAGAUAGGGGAAGCAAUAAAUGUAAUAUAUCACAUCAACAGAUUGGAUGAUGAAACCAAAUGAUCAUCUCAAUAGAUGUGGGAAAAGUUUGUGAAAAAACUAAACCUCCCUUUGUGACAAAAAUCCAGAACAAAGUAGGUUUCCAGCACACCUUGUUACUUGCUAUUGUUAACUGGUUCUGGAGGUGGG
ensembl:lncRNA